UCCGAAUUGGUGUAGUGGCUAACAUUUGACGCUCUCAUCCUCGUCCUUGCAGACGUAACUGGCACCGUCAAGCCCGGGGUUCGAUUCCCCGAUUCGGAG